AUUCAACAUCCGCUACCCGGACCUGUACAACAUGGUGUCGCUGUGUGGUGGUGACGGGACGUGGGACAACCUGCCUCUCUGUCAAGAUGGAGGGGUGAGAGCCUGAGGAGCCGGCUCGCUGUUGCCUGGAAGUGCAAAUAGAAAUUGCAUCAAACUAUCGAGUCAAAGCCCGAUUUCUGCUGCUGUGUUUAGGACGGCGGUCUCCAACCGAGGAGCGUGUCUUUCUUUCCCUGAUGCUGCCUGAGACCUCUCACCUCUUCCAACGGCUAUGCGAACAUCUCCGAGUUGCAGACCUCCUUCCCCGUGGGGACGGUCAUCUCCUACC